ACCUGACUGCUAUCGGAUUGAUACUAAGCCAUGCGAGUCAUUGUAGCAAUACAAGGCAGACGGCUCAGUAACGCGUAGUCAAUCUACCCUAUGGACGGGAAUAACCUCGGGAAACUGAGAAUAAUGCCCGAUAGAACAUUAUGCCUGGAAUGGUUUAUGUUUCAAAUGAUUUAUCGCCAUAGGAUGGGACUGCGGCCUAUCAGUUUGUUGGUGAGGUAAGGGCCCACCAAGACUAUUACAGGUACGGGCUCUGAGAGGAGUAGCCCGGAGAUGGGUACUGAGACACGGACCCAGGCCCUAUGGGGCGCAGCAGGCGAGAAAACUUUGCAAUGUGCGAAAGCACGACAAGGUUAAUCCGAGUGGUUUCUGCUAAAGAAACCUUUUGUCAGUCCUAGAAACACUAACGAAUAAGGGGUGGGCAAGUUCUGGUGUCAGCCGCCGCGGUAAAACCAGCACCUCAAGUGGUCAGGAUGAUUAUUGGGCCUAAAGCAUCCGUAGCUCGUUUUGUAAGUUUUCGGUUAAAUCCAUGCGCUUAACGUAUGGGCUGCCGGGAAUACUGCAUAACUAGGAAGUGGGAGAGGUAGACGGUACUCGGUAGGAAGGGGUAAAAUCCUUUGAUCUAUUGAUGACCACCUGUGGCGAAGGCGGUCUACCAGAACACGUUCGACGGUGAGGGAUGAAAGCUGGGGGAGCAAACCGGAUUAGAUACCCGGGUAGUCCCAGCUGUAAACUAUGCAAACUCAGUGAUGCAUUGGCUUAUGGCCAAUGCAGUGCUGCAGGGAAGCCGUUAAGUUUGCCGCCUGGGAAGUACGUACGCAAGUAUGAAACUUAAAGGAAUUGGCGGGGGAGCACCACAAGGGUGAAGCCUGCGGUUCAAUU
rnacentral:rRNA from 1 species